AGAGUUUGAUCCUGGCUCAGGAUGAACGCUAGCUACAGGCUUAACACAUGCAAGUCGAGGGGAAACGAUAUUGGAAGCUUGCUUCCGAUAGGCGUCGACCGGCGCACGGGUGAGUAACGCGUAUCCAACCUGCCCAUCACUUGGGAAUAACCUUGCGAAAGUAAGACUAAUGCCCAAUGACAUUUAUAGAAGGCAUCGGAAAUGAAUUAAAGAUUUAUCGGUGAUGGAUGGGGAUGCGUCUGAUUAGCUUGUUGGCGGGGUAACGGCCCACCAAGGCGACGAUCAGUAGGGGUUCUGAGAGGAAGGUCCCCCACAUUGGAACUGAGACACGGUCCAAACUCCUACGGGAGGCAGCAGUGAGGAAUAUUGGUCAAUGGGCGAGAGCCUGAACCAGCCAAGUAGCGUGCAGGAUGACGGCCCUAUGGGUUGUAAACUGCUUUUAUAGGGGAAUAAAGUGAGCCACGUGUGGUUUUUUGCAUGUACCCUAUGAAUAAGGACCGGCUAAUUCCGUGCCAGCAGCCGCGGUAAUACGGAAGGUCCGGGCGUUAUCCGGAUUUAUUGGGUUUAAAGGGAGCGUAGGCCGGAGAUUAAGCGUGUUGUGAAAUGUAGAUGCUCAACAUCUGCACUGCAGCGCGAACUGGUUUCCUUGAGUACGCAUAAAGUGGGCGGAAUUCGUGGUGUAGCGGUGAAAUGCUUAGAUAUCACGAAGAACUCCGAUUGCGAAGGCAGCUCACUGGGGCGCAACUGACGCUGAAGCUCGAAAGCGCGGGUAUCGAACAGGAUUAGAUACCCUGGUAGUCCGCGCGGUAAACGAUGGAUGCCCGCUGUUGGGCCAACUGGUUCAGCGGCCAAGCGAAAGCAUUAAGCAUCCCACCUGGGGAGUACGCCGGCAACGGUGAAACUCAAAGGAAUUGACGGGGGCCCGCACAAGCGGAGGAACAUGUGGUUUAAUUCGAUGAUACGCGAGGAACCUUACCCGGGCUUGAAUUGCAGAGGAAGGAUUUGGAGACAAUGACGCCCUUCGGGGCCUCUGUGAAGGUGCUGCAUGGUUGUCGUCAGCUCGUGUCGUGAGAUGUUGGGUUAAGUCCCGCAACGAGCGCAACCCCUAUCUUUAGUAGCCAGCGGUCAGGCCGGGCACUCUAGAGAGACUGCCAGGGAUAACCUGGAGGAAGGUGGGGAUGACGUCAAAUCAUCAUGCCCCUUAUGAGCAGGGCUACACACGUGCUACAAUGGCGUAAACAAAGGGAGGCAGAACCGCGAGGUCGAGCAAAUCCCAAAAAUAACGUCUCAGUUCGGAUUGUAGUCUGCAACUCGACUACAUGAAGCUGGAAUCGCUAGUAAUCGCGAAUCAGAAUGUCGCGGUGAAUACGUUCCCGGGUCUUGUACACACCGCCCGUCACACCAUGGGAGUCAGUAACGCCCGAAGUCAGUGACCCAACCGUAAGGAGGGAGCUGCCGAAGGUGGGACCGAUAACCGGGGUGAAGUCGUAACAAGGUA
rnacentral:rRNA from 1 species